AGUGGGAUAGCUGGGUCAAAUGGUGAUCCUAGUCCAAGUUUUCUGAGGAAUCUCCAUAUUGUUUUCUAGAUUGGCUGCACCAAUUUGUAGUCCUACCAGCAAU
rnacentral:pre_miRNA from 1 species